UAGUCCAAUCUAAACACAAAACUCCACCGUGUGCCUUCCUUCUCCUUCGUCUCCUACUCUUCAAACACCACCGCAAAAUCGACAAUCUACCUCAAUCUGUAGCUUUCUAAAUUCCCUCUCACUGUUCAAUCCCUAGAUUUUUAGGGUUUCAGAUCUAUAUUCCCUUUCACCAUUCAAUCCCUAGCUUUUUAGGGUUUUAGAUCUAUUCCUCUUCCUCGUGUUUUUUCUUUGACCAAAAUUAAUGGCUUCAAUCCGAAAGACCCUAUCUCCCCGACCUUCUUAGUGGCGUUAUAGUUUCAGAGAUUAUCUAGCGGCGUUGGUGGCUACGAUAAGGGUUUAAUGGUUGAUCAUGUAAGCUUUAGCUUAAGCAUGAACACUGAGAAGGAAUUAACAGAUUGUAGAUAUGAAUUUGUUGAAGGAUUUUUUCUGGUUUGUGGUUCUAGGUUUGUCUGUUCUUUUUUCUUCUAGUUUGUUUUUCUGGGUUUGUUUAUUUUUGUUGUUGUGGCUGAAUUUUUUUGGUUAAUUUGGUUAUGAGAUAUCGAUUGUUUGGCUAUGAGAUUCUGGCUGAAUUUUUGUGGCUCAAUUUAAUGUUAGGAAGAAGCAUUUUAAUGUUUUAACUCACUGUUAUGCAGGUAUUUUGGUGGGGUUNNNN
rnacentral:lncRNA from 1 species